AUGGGCUCUCGCAGUCGUCCUACUCCUACCACCCUAGUCUUGGUGUUGCUGCUAUGCCUCUGCUAUGCGCUGAUCCAGGCCUUCUCACUAUCCUUCAACCUCAACUUCUCCGACCCCAGCAACGGUUCGUCCAUCGACCUCACCGGUGAUGCCCUCAUCAGCCCGUUAUGGCUAGAGCUGACAAAGAAUACACGUGAUGCAAAUAUUCAGAGCAGCGUCGGCCGGGCAUGGUACGCGCAAAGGGUGGCGCUAUGGAGCAACGCCACCGGCGAGAUGGCUAGCUUCACCACCACCUUCUCCUUCCGAAUCACUCCAGACAACCUCAGCCUGCCUUAUACAGGCGAUGGGAUGGCCUUCUUCCUCGGGCAUUUCCCCUCCAAGAUCCCGGACAACAGCGCGGGCGGCGGCCUAGCCCUCCUCCCCAGGUAUGCUGACGGAACAGGCGACAGCCGGAUAGUCGCGGUGGAGUUUGACACUUUUCCCAAUGCGGAAUGUGCCGACAUCAACAGGAACCAUAUCGGCAUCGACGUCAACUCCCUCAACUCAACGGCGUCCACGGACACGACCACCUGGCCGGGAAAGAACCUCACAUCACUCCAUGUUAUGGAAGCCACGGUGAAGUACCACAAUGACACCAAGAUGCUAGGUGUUGAUCUCCGCAUCGACGAUGCCCUGUACCAGGUAAACGCAACCGUCGAUCUCAGCAGAUACUUACCGGAGGAGGUCGCCGUCGGCUUCUCCGCGGCGACAGGCGCCAUAACCGAGCUGCAUCGGAUACUGUCAUGGUCAUUCAAUUCCACGCUUGAAUCAAAGAAGGAAGCAGCUCCACCUGCCGAACCUCCUCUUCCAAUUCCAACCAGCAGUAACAACCACAAAAUAUUAGUACCAAUCCUACUAGCCAUCUUAGUUCCUUUGCUUUUUUUGUUGGUCUGUGCGGCGGCGGUGCUGGGAUGGCGGCGACACAACAAUAGCAGAGCAAACGAGGACAGUGAAGAAGAGUGCAUCGACAGAUCUGAUCUCGAGAGAGGUGUGGCUGCCGGCGGCCCUAGACGGUACAUGUACCGCGAGCUUGUCGCCGCAACGAGCAAUUUUGCGGAAGACGAGAAGCUCGGGCGAGGCGGUUUCGGGAGCGUUUACCGGGGUGCCAUCGAUGGUGACCAAGACCGUCGUGAGGUGGCAGUGAAGGUGUUGUCUGCAGACUCGUCGUCCCAGGGGAGGAAGGAGUUCGAGGCAGAGGUGAGGAUCAUCAGCAGACUGAAGCAUGGCAACCUUGUGAAGCUGUUGGGCUGGUGCGACAGUUGCAAGGGGCUCCUCCUUGUCUACGAGCUCGUCACGGAGGGCAGCCUAGACAGGCACCUCUACAGCAACGACGACAGCUAUCUGACAUGGCCACAGAGGUACAACAUCAUCCUUGGCUUGGGAUCCGCGCUGCGCUACCUCCACGGAGAGUGGGAGCAGUGCAUCAUCCACGGCGACAUCAAGCCCAGCAACAUCAUGCUCGACUCAUCGCUCAACACCAAGCUUGGGGACUUCGGGUUGGCCCGGCUCAUUGACCACGGCGCCGGGUUAAUACAGACCACCAAGGCCGUGCUCGGCACCGUCGGCUACAUCGACCCAGAGUUCGUCAACACGCGCCGGCCCAGCACAGAGUCGGACGUGUACAGCUUCGGCGUCGUCCUCCUGGAGAUUGCCUCCGGCCGGUGGCCGGUGAUCGAGACCGCGGAGAGGUCCUUCACGCUGCUCAGCUGGGUGUGGGGUCUGUAUGGAAGGGACGCGAUCCUUGACGCGGUGGACGAACGGUUGAGGGGCGACGAGGCGGACGAACGGUGGAUGGAGCGGGUGCUGGUCGUCGGGCUCUGGUGCGCCCAGCCGGACCAGAGCGAGCGGCCGUCCGUGGCGCAGGCCAUGCACGUCCUGCAGUCCGACGAGGCGAGGCUGCCGGCGCUCCCGCAGCACAUGUACAGGGCUGCGCCGAGUCUUGCAUCGUCCGUCCCGUACGGGUCUUUCUCCGUCGAUAGGUCCGGCUCCGGUUGCGUUCGCUCUUCUUCGGUCAGCACCAGCAACACCACUGCUUCCUCCGAGUCAUCCUCAACCGCGCUGCUACGUCAUUCCAAGGAUCAAGCUACGCAGUUGAUUCAUCCAGAUUUGUAA
rnacentral:rRNA from 1 species